rnacentral:tRNA from 1 species
GCCUUCGUGGUGUAAGGGUUAGCACACUCGGCUCGUAUUCGAGAGGUCCAGGUUCAAGUUACGACAAGGGCA